CUCAGAGCAACGCCCGCAGCCCCCACCCGUGUUGUGUUAAAGGAUGUCGGAGCUCUCUUGCCUUCCUCUCCCCGUAUCUUCAUAAUUCAAAGGCGCAACCACUAUUUGACAAUUUGCUGCAAGGAUGUGAAGAUGUGAAGAGCGCCAAGGCAGCAAACAGCAGCUGCUCCGACACUCCAACGGAGGCAAAAGACGGUGAAGAUUUUCGGUACUUUUUCAUAGACAUAUAAUUCAGUGAAAAAGUUUAGUAAAUUUUCCAUUUUCCAGUGGGUAGGAU
rnacentral:lncRNA from 1 species